AAAGAUUCAAAUAAAUUUUUAAGUCAUUUUAUUAUUUGUAUUUAUAUCAGUUUAAUGUUAUAGAAAAACUUUUCCUUAUUAAAAACACAUUAUUGGUCUAACAAAUGGAAUGACUUUUAUUUCAUUAAAUCAAUAAAUCAAUGAUGCGUUUUAAAAAAAAAAGCAAGAAUCAUGAAUGUAAUUAAUGUGAUAAUUGGGAUUAUCAUAUUUACAUAUGGUGUGUGGUCAACAAUUUUAUUAAUUUGGUUUAAUGAAAUAAAAUACGCAAAUGAGUUGGACCGGAUAAUUGGUUGUUCAAAAAAAUAUACAAAUGGAUUGCAUUGGACAGCUUUUUCUACAUGUACAAUUUUCAUUUUUUAUCAUCACUUUGGACAGAUUGUUUUUUGUCAUUAAUUUUAAUAACCACAUUAAAUUUCAAAUGCAUGAGGAAUGAGAAUAAAUGAGAAGAGGAAAGAGAAAGACAAAUAAAUCUGGUUUUAUCAUAUGCAUAGAUUUAUAGAUUAUAGAUAUAGAUAGAUUUCAUUGAAGGCAAAAUCAAAGGAGAUGUGUUGGUUGUUUUAAUCAGGCCAUAUGAUAUAGGAGAGAAAAAAUGAAAUCGGUUUAUAUAUGAUUACUUAUAGAGAAUUAUAUAAAUUAGAAAUUACUUAAAGUUUCUACAUUUUUUUUACUUAAGCUUUAAUAAUAAAAGAAUAAUAAUUUAUAUAUGUAUAUAUAUAUAUAUAUAUAUAUAUAUAUAUAUAUAUANNNNNNNNNNNNNUAUAUAUAUAUAUAUAUAUAUAUGUAGAUUUUUUUGAUCGGUAUAUAUAUGUAGAUUGAACCAAAAGAAUAAAGAAUGAGAGAUGAAAAAAUACGUAUAAAAAGAAUUUAAAAAAUAGAGAGUUCCAAAUUUUUAUUUUAUAACGAUAGAGAUGUUCAGUAAAUAUGUAAGAUAAAUAUAAUAUUUCAUCUUCUCAAUAACAGAGAGGUCCAUUAAUAUAGAUGUCUACUACAUGUAAUUGUUUCAUCUUCUUAACAUGUAAGAUAUAGAUGUCUAUUGUCAAAAAGAAAAGAAAAGAUAUAGAUGUCUAGAAAUACCAAUAUAAAAUAAAAACAACAUAUAUUGACCAAAUAAAUAAAUAAAAACCACAGAUUAAUCACAUAUAUAGAUGGUAUAACAUUCUUAUCUUUUUACUGGAUCAUGAAUCUGCAAUAAACAAUGAAAACAAUUAUAAUCAAAAUUAGAAACCAUGUAUUAAGGUUAUACAUGUUGCAAACACUCGAAUCAGGGUAUUCAAUUAUGAUAGAAAUGUAUAAAAAAUUACACCAAAAAAAAUGUCAUACAAAUAAGUCACACAAAAGAGGUGAAGAGAAAAAGAGAAUACCUAUGAUUGUUGUAGCUGGAAAAAAAAAAAUAGAUUAAACAAAAGUAUAAGAAGAUUAAAAUUGAUGUGAGGAAAAUUUGAUGAGAAAGUGAAUAAAAAAAAUAAAGACAAAAAAAGAGUGAUAUUACUANNNNNNNNNNNNNNNNNNNNNNNNNNNNNNNNNNNNNNNNNNNNGGUGAUAUCUACAUAUUGCUGGUAAAUAUAAAUCAAUAUCAAAAUAAUAGCAUGAUUAAUUAUAAUUGUAGGAAAAAUAAUACCUAUCACAUAAAUAAAAUG
rnacentral:lncRNA from 1 species